rnacentral:tRNA from 1 species
GCCUUGGUGGUGGAAUGGUAGACGCAGCGGAUUCAAAAUCCGCCGCUCGUAAGGGUGUGCGAGUUCGAGUCUCGCCCGAGGCACCA